ensembl:lncRNA
AGAUUGAGUUACCUGGAAACAUACCUUGCGUGAAGAAGGUUUAUUGGCGGGUGGUUAAAAAGAUACACCUGUAAGGAAGUGGGGCUGGCAGGAUUGGGCAGAGGCAGAGGCUGCCUCUCUGCAUGGUUACAGCUGAGCCUAUGGCCCAGGGCGAUUGCAGGGGACUGGUUCUUCAGAGUUGGACCAAAUCGAGUGCAGCGGCCUGGGCCUUUGUCUCUCCGUAUCCUGCCUUCCUGGGCAGAGGUGAGCCUUAGGCAGAGCAGUUCCCCGAGGGCGAUGCCCACUGAUGGACACAGCUGUGAAUGGUCAGGAGCCUGUAUUGCCAGCAGCCUGGGAAUAGUGUGUCAGUGCUGAGUGCGGAUGUGGGAGAAGCUCCCCAGUAUACACUCUGGGCGGGUCACCUCUGAGAUCUCGAGUGGCCGCAGAGUCAGACGUAACAGGAAUACUCAGCACAGCCCUGGAGGGCCUGACCCAGGGUCCCCAGGGAGCCCUGGGGCCAUUCUUGGUUGCUCUUGACCUUCCUCACCCUAUGAGCCCAUUCAGUUUCCUAUUUUUUCUUUCUCCAGACUUUUUUUAAACUCUUUUUUCCUUCGCUUUUUAUGUUCUGGCUCAACAAUUUUCCACCCCUCCAAUGGCACUCAAGACAGAUGGAUCGGUCAACCAAUCAAUCAAUCAAUCAAAAUAAAGCAGCUGCCUAUGAAAGAGCGGCAGAGCAGUAAAGUAAAAUAUUAUGCGUAACGAGAUGAGGCCUUUGAGAGUAAGUCCUGGCCUUGCCACUAACAAGCUGUGUGAAUUUGGGGCAAUUACUUAACUUUACUGAACCUUUGUUUGUCUUUACAGUAAAGGGAUUAUAAGAAAAUUGUCUCUAAAGUCCCAACUCUAUGGAAAUUACAUUGUUAGAAAGAGAUGGCUUUCUUUGCUCUAUAAUUCCUCAUGAAGCAAGCAAGCUGUCCUUACAACUCAGGACAACUGAUUUUUAAAAUUAAUUGCAAUUCCUAUGUGAAGCUCCACUUCUGGGAAUUUCUAUUCAAUAUUCAAUAACUACACUCUAAGUCAUUGGUCAGAAAGAGACGCGUGAAGAAAGAUGAAAAACUGAGACAAAUCAGUCAGUCGGCGGGGGAUCAGAUCUUCACAGACUUCAGAACAAUUGUUCUGGGGUGGCAGCUUUGCUCCCUAAGGAUCUUACAUGUCCUGUGCACAUGGCCACUCUCUGCCUGAACCUGCCCUGGAAGUUCUGGAGAGCUCCCUCCUGUUGAAUAGAUCACCUGGAGCUUGGCCCUCUACCUCUGGAGAGCAGAAAUCCCCAGACACUGUUGUCUGAGGUCAAAUAUAUGGAUGCAAAAGUUAGCAAAUUUCCCAUCGUUGGAGAGGUUCAACCAGUGGUCAACUAGGAGGUGGAGAUGUGGAGACUGUCACCCGGGGAAGCAACCCAAGUGUCCACCAGAGGAGAUAGGGCAUCUCCAUCGACAGCACCCUGUGAAAAGAUGUAGAUCCAAAGAUACUGACAUGAAAAGAUGCCCCGAAUGUAUUUUUGAGUAUAGAAAACAGGUUACAGAAGAGCAUGCAUAGAAUUUCCCACCCAUGUGUGAAAAAAGCACGCACACACACACGCACACACGUCUGUGUGAGUAUAUCUGCAGUGAUGUUUGUAAAAUGGUAAUUGAUUUUCUCAGGGUGGUGACGUUUCAGGUAACCUACACGUUUUUAUUCUGCGUGAAUUGUUUUUACAGUGAACAUACAGCUUUUCUAUGAAUAACGAGUUUUUCUUAAUAUUUUAAAUACCUUUUUUCAAGUUAUAAAAAGACAAAAAAAGGCCUUGUGUAGACCAGAAGUUGGCAAAGUAUGGCCAGAGGGCCAGACCACUGGCUGUUUUGUAAAUAAAGUUUUAUUGGAACACAACCACAUCCAUCCAUUCCUCUAUUGUCUUGGCUGCUUUUGCUUUACAAUGAUUGAGUGGAAUAGUUGUGACAGAGACAUCCCAGCCCACAAAGCCUAAAAUACUUCUCUGCCUCUUUAGAAAAAAAGUGUGGCAACCCUUGGUGUAGACUAGAAAACAUUUUCAGUAUGGCAAAUUGCAGCCUAGAUUUUACUAAUUUUUGGAUUUCAAUGUAUCUGAAUUUUCCGUUAAAACAAAUGUGG